rnacentral:rRNA from 1 species
CAGCGCCAUAAGUGGCAAUCAUGAUUAUUGGGCCUAAAGCGUCCGUAGCCGGUUUGAUAAGUCUUCUGUGAAAUCGUUGGGCUUAACCUAACGGAUUGCAGAAGACACUUCAUAGCUUGGGACCGGAAGGGGUUAGGAGUAUUUUUUGGGGAGCGGUAAAAUGCUAUAAUCCAAAAAAGACUACCUGUGGCGAAGGCGCCUAACCAGUACGGAUCCGACGGUGAGGAACGAAAGCUAGGGGAGCGAUCCGGAUUAGAGACCCGAGUAGUCC